rnacentral:tRNA from 1 species
UCCCUGGUGGCUCAGUGGGUUAAGGAUCCAGCAUUGCUGCUGCUGUGGCAUGGGUUCGAUUCCUGGCCAGGGAA